rnacentral:tRNA from 1 species
GGUGAGAUGGCCGAGCGGAUUAAGGCGCUCCUCUGCUAAUGGAGUAUGUAAUUAAUUUGCAUCGAGGGUUCGAAUCCCUCUCUCACCG